UUAAGUUUCUACAUGCUAAUAUUAUAUAUGGACCUUUUGAUCACACUGUUUGAUACUGGGUUCUGCAUCACUUCUAUUCUUGAAAUUAUAAAACCUUAAAUAUCAAUGUUUUACGUCCUCCAUUAUUUCAAGACUCAUGUAUGAGUUUUUUCCAAACAGAGGAGAAUGAUUCAUUAAGGCUUAAGUUUAGACUGUGUAAACUGACAUGAAAUUAUACUUUUUUAAU
rnacentral:lncRNA from 1 species